rnacentral:rRNA from 1 species
CCUACGGGUGGCUGCAGUCGAGAAUCAUUCACAAUGGGGGAAACCCUGAUGGUGCGACGCCGCGUGGGGGAAUGAAGGUCUUCGGAUUGUAAACCCCUGUUAUGUGGGAGCAAAUUAAAAAGAUAGUACCACAAGAGGAAGAGACGGCUAACUCUGUGCCAGCAGCCGCGGUAAUACAGAGGUCUCAAGCGUUAUUCGGAAUCACUGGGCGUAAAGCGUGCGUAGGCUGUUUCGUAAGUCGUGUGUGAAAGGCGCGGGCUCAACCCGCGGACGGCACAUGAUACUGCGAGACUAGAGUAAGGGAGGGGGAACCGGAAUUCUCGGUGUAGCAGUGAAAUGCGUAGAUAUCGAGAGGAACACUCGUGGCGAAGGCGGGUUCCUGGACAUUAACUGACGCUGAGGCACGAAGGCCAGGGGAGCGAAAGGGAUUAGAUACCCCUGUAGUC